GCCUCCUUAGCUCAGCUGGGAGAGCGUUAGACUGAAGAUCUAAAUGUCCGGUGUUCAAUCCACCGAGGGGGCA